GAUGAAGAACGUAGCGAAAUGCGAUAAGUAAUGUGAAUUGCAGAAUUCAGUGAAUCAUCGAGUCUUUGAACGCACAUUGCGCCCGCCAGUAUUCUGGCGGGCAUGCCUGUUCGAGCGUCAUUUCAACCCUCAAGCCCUCGGGUUUGGUGUUGGGGAUCGGCGAGCCUUUCUGGCAAGCCGGCCCCGAAAUCUAGUGGCGGUCUCGCUGCAGCCUCCAUUGCGUAGUAGUAAAACCCUCGCAACUGGAACGCGGCGCGGCCAAGCCGUUAAACCCCCAACUUCUGAAUGUUGACCUCGGAUCAGGUAGGAAUACCCGCUGAACUUAAGCAUAUCAAUAAGCGGAGGA
rnacentral:misc_RNA from 1 species